AGCUUAGUUGGUUAGGGCAUUGCCCCAAUAAGCCAGGGUGGCAGGUUCGAUCUCUGGUUAGGGUACAUAUAAGAAGCAACCAAUGAAUGCAUAAAUAAGGAACAACAAACCGAUAUCUCCCUCUCUCUCUCUCUGCCCCCCUCACUUCCUCUCUCUAAAAACCAAA